AUGGCCUCUUCUUACCUUGCCAUCCUAGUGCUACUCUUGCUGCGGCUCUCCGGCGGCGCCUUCGCCGUCCUCUCCAGCUACAUCGCAAGGACCACCGAGCAGCAGAUCAUCGCCACCGUCGCGCCGGCCGCCUUCGCCGACGCCGAUGACGGCGGCCAGAGCGCAGCGCAGCCUUUCCUCGCGUCCCCCUCCGGGUCGUUCGCCGCGUACCUCCGCCGCGCCGCCGUGGGCGAUGGCGGUAGCGGGGACGUGUGCUACAUCGAGGUCGUCCAGCAGCAGGGGGGCGGUGGCGGGACCAGCAGCGUGUGGGAGUCGGAAUGCACGCCGGUGGGCGGCGCCGAGACCUGCGACCUGGCCUUCUCGCCGGUGGGGCUCGAGCUCUUCGCCGGCGGGCACUCGCUGUGGGACACCGCUGUCGACUCCGACCCCGCGAUGCUCAGCCUCGACGGCGCCGGAGAUAUGAGGAUCGUCAGCAGGGACGGCGUCACGGUGUGGAGGACGAGGGAUGAGCCGUGGACGGGGCGGAGGUGCGGCGCCGCGGCCUUGCCGAUGGAGGACGUGCUCCCGCCGCCGUCGGCGACGUCGACUCUCGCCAGUCCGUGGGGCUCGGGCUUCACUUUCGGAGACCAAACGGCGCCACCAGCAGCUGACACGUCGCCUGACCAGAUGCUGCCGCCGCCACCGCCAGCUGACGACGACGACGAUUCCGCCGACUUGCCCGACCUGCCGCUGCCACCGCCGCCUCCGCUGUCUGACCCGUCAACGGACUGGCCGGACCUUCAGCUGCCUCCACCACCGGCGGACAUGCAACCGACCCCCGAGACGCCGGACCAGCCUCUGUACUCGUCGCCACCACCGGCGGACAUGCACCUGACCCCCGAGACGCCGGACCAGCCUCUGUACUCGUCGCCACCGCCAGCAACGCCAUCGCCGCCCGUCGACACGCCCCCACUCGUGUCAUCUCCCGGCGCGGGCAUCGCCACGCCACCAGCUUCAUCGGACGACGACAACAUGGCAUUCUCGCCACCACCUCACGGCACGCCGCACCCGCACCACCUUCCCCUGGGAAGCUCGCCGCCGACGGCGCCGGGCGCGGUGGCGCCAAUCAGCGGCGGCCAUGGCCCGCUCCCGUUCGGGCAGGGGCAGCAUGGGCAAGGGCAGAGGGUGUUCGGGCAGCAGCAGAACCAGCUGCUGAACGGCGGGGGGCAGCCGCUGGAUCACAGCGCCGGCGGGUGGUCAGUCAGGGGGCGCGGCGGAGCGGCCGCGAGCUUGGCUUUGGCUGCUCUGGUUUUCGCGUAG
rnacentral:rRNA from 1 species